CCGAGAUUCCCCCAGUAGCGGCGAGCGAACGGGGAGGAGCCCAGAGCCUGAAUCAGUGUGUGUGUUAGUGGAAGCGUCUGGAAAGGCGUGCGAUACAGGGUGACAGCCCCGUACACAAAAAUGCACAUACUGUGAGCUCGAUGAGUAGGGCGGGACACGUGGUAUCCUGUCUGAAUAUGGGGGGACCAUCCUCCAAGGCUAAAUACUCCUGACUGACCGAUAGUGAACCAGUACCGUGAGGGAAAGGCGAAAAGAACCCCGGCGAGGGGAGUGAAAAAGAACCUGAAACCGUGUACGUACAAGCAGUGGGAGCCUCUUAAUGGGGUGACUGCGUACCUUUUGUAUAAUGGGUCAGCGACUUAUAUUCUGUAGCAAGGUUAACCGAAUAGGGGAGCCGAAGGGAAACCGAGUCUUAACUGGGCGUUAAGUUGCAGGGUAUAGACCCGAAACCCGGUGAUCUAGCCAUGGGCAGGUUGAAGGUUGGGUAACACUAACUGGAGGACCGAACCGACUAAUGUUGAAAAAUUAGCGGAUGACUUGUGGCUGGGGGUGAAAGGCCAAUCAAACCGGGAGAUAGCUGGUUCUCCCCGAAAGCUAUUUAGGUAGCGCCUCGUGAAUUCAUCUCCGGGGGUAGAGCACUGUUUCGGCAAGGGGGUCAUCCCGACUUACCAACCCGAUGCAAACUGCGAAUACCGGAGAAUGUUAUCACGGGAGACACACGGCGGGUGCUAACGUCCGUCGUGAAGAGGGAAACAACCCAGACCGCCAGCUAAGGUCCCAAAGUCAUGGUUAAGUGGGAAACGAUGUGGGAAGGCCCAGACAGCCAGGAUGUUGGCUUAGAAGCAGCCAUCAUUUAAAGAAAGCGUAAUAGCUCACUGGUCGAGUCGGCCUGCGCGGAAGAUGUAACGGGGCUAAACCAUGCACCGAAGCUGCGGCAGCGACACUAUGUGUUGUUGGGUAGGGGAGCGUUCUGUAAGCCUGUGAAGGUGUACUGUGAGGUAUGCUGGAGGUAUCAGAAGUGCGAAUGCUGACAUAAGUAACGAUAAAGCGGGUGAAAAGCCCGCUCGCCGGAAGACCAAGGGUUCCUGUCCAACGUUAAUCGGGGCAGGGUGAGUCGACCCCUAAGGCGAGGCCGAAAGGCGUAGUCGAUGGGAAACAGGUUAAUAUUCCUGUACUUGGUGUUACUGCGAAGGGGGGACGGAGAAGGCUAUGUUGGCCGGGCGACGGUUGUCCCGGUUUAAGCGUGUAGGCUGGUUUUCCAGGCAAAUCCGGAAAAUCAAGGCUGAGGCGUGAUGACGAGGCACUACGGUGCUGAAGCAACAAAUGCCCUGCUUCCAGGAAAAGCCUCUAAGCAUCAGGUAACAUCAAAUCGUACCCCAAACCGACACAGGUGGUCAGGUAGAGAAUACCAAGGCGCUUGAGAGAACUCGGGUGAAGGAACUAGGCAAAAUGGUGCCGUAACUUCGGGAGAAGGCACGCUGAUAUGUAGGUGAAGUCCCUCGCGGAUGGAGCUGAAAUCAGUCGAAGAUACCAGCUGGCUGCAACUGUUUAUUAAAAACACAGCACUGUGCAAACACGAAAGUGGACGUAUACGGUGUGACGCCUGCCCGGUGCCGGAAGGUUAAUUGAUGGGGUUAGCGGUAACGCGAAGCUCUUGAUCGAAGCCCCGGUAAACGGCGGCCGUAACUAUAACGGUCCUAAGGUAGCGAAAUUCCUUGUCGGGUAAGUUCCGACCUGCACGAAUGGCGUAAUGAUGGCCAGGCUGUCUCCACCCGAGACUCAGUGAAAUUGAACUCGCUGUGAAGAUGCAGUGUACCCGCGGCAAGACGGAAAGACCCCGUGAACCUUUACUAUAGCUUGACACUGAACAUUGAGCCUUGAUGUGUAGGAUAGGUGGGAGGCUUUGAAGUGUGGACGCCAGUCUGCAUGGAGCCGGCCUUGAAAUACCACCCUUUAAUGUUUGAUGUUCUAACGUUGGCCCCUGACCGGGGUUGCGGACAGUGUCUGGUGGGUAGUUUGACUGGGGCGGUCUCCUCCUAAAGAGUAACGGAGGAGCACGAAGGUUGGCUAAUCCUGGUCGGACAUCAGGAGGUUAGUGCAAUGGCAUAAGCCAGCUUGACUGCGAGCGUGACGGCGCGAGCAGGUGCGAAAGCAGGUCAUAGUGAUCCGGUGGUUCUGAAUGGAAGGGCCAUCGCUCAACGGAUAAAAGGUACUCCGGGGAUAACAGGCUGAUACCGCCCAAGAGUUCAUAUCGACGGCGGUGUUUGGCACCUCGAUGUCGGCUCAUCACAUCCUGGGGCUGAAGUAGGUCCCAAGGGUAUGGCUGUUCGCCAUUUAAAGUGGUACGCGAGCUGGGUUUAGAACGUCGUGAGACAGUUCGGUCCCUAUCUGCCGUGGGCGCUGGAGAACUGAGGGGGGCUGCUCCUAGUACGAGAGGACCGGAGUGGACGCAUCACUGGUGUUCGGGUUGUCAUGCCAAUGGCACUGCCCGGUAGCUAAAUGCGGAAGAGAUAAGUGCUGAAAGCAUCUAAGCACGAAACUUGCCCCGAGAUGAGUUCUCCCUGACUCCUUGAGAGUCCUGAAGGAACGUUGAAGACGACGACGUUGAUAGGCCGGGUGUGUAAGCGCAGCGAUGCGUUGAGCUAACCGGUACUAAUGAACCGUGAGG
rnacentral:rRNA from 1 species